rnacentral:misc_RNA from 1 species
GAUGAAGAACGUAGCGAAAUGCGAUACGUAAUGUGAAUUGCAGAAUUCAGUGAAUCAUCGAAUCUUUGAACGCAUAUUGCGCUCUCUGGUAUUCCGGAGAGCAUGCUUGUUUGAGUAUCAGUAAACACCUCAACUCCCUUUUCUUUUUUGAAAUUGGAUCUGGACUUGAGUGAUCCCAACGCUUUCUUCCAAGAAAGUGGCGGGUUGCUUGAAAUGCAGGUGCAGCUGAACUUUUCUCUGAGCUAUAAGCAUAUCUAUUUAGUCUGCCUAAAAAACAGAUUAUUACCUUUGCUGCAGCUAACAUAAAGGAGACUAGUUCUUGUGCUGACUGAUGCAGGAUUCACAGAGACAGCUUCGGCUGACUUUGUAAACUCGAUCUCAAAUCAAGUAAGACUACCCGCUGAACUUAAGCAUAUCAAUAAGCGGAGGA